UGUACUCAUAGAACCGGGGUUACCAUCCAGCAACAUCAGUGACUAUUUCCUAAGAAAUGAAAGUUAACGCCUAAACUUUACAUUUUGUCUCUACACGCCAACCACUUUCCACAAACAACACAGACUUCUCGGCAGAUCAUCACACUGAAGUCCUGCGUCGUCGACCAGACUACAGCCAUUUCAUCAGUGGGAAUUGACACGCAGAACAGACUGAUACAGAUAAAGAACUGAUGACAAUGAUGACAGGCCAGUAUGUUCAAGAAAUGUUGCCUCCACCUCAAGACAAGCUGAUGAUGAUCCAGCAGAACGAUGCGGUUAAUGUGACUCUGGACUACUACUCAGCCAAUGACAGACUUGAGGUGUAUCAGGAUGGGAAACAACUGAGCGUUCGUAGCUUUACUUUUCCAUUGUAUUAUUAUUUAUUUGGAAAAGGAUUUCAAAAUCUGCCCUUUGUCCUUGGAAAUGAGGGUUUUUCCUCAGGCAGGUUCUACUACGAGGUUCAAGUCAGUGGGAGUACAGGCUGGGUCUUGGGAGUGGCCAAAGAGUCCGUUAACAAGAAGGUAAACUUCAUCUGCCCUGAGGCAGGAGUCUGGGCAGUUCAUAUGUACAUCAAUCACGAGGGAGACGCAUAUUUAAAUCAUGUCUCUUUUCAACAAUACCUGAUCCAAAGACCCCAAAAAGUCGGUGUGUUUGUCGAUUAUGAGAAGGGAGAGGUCUCCUUCUAUGACGUGGGUACCAGGACUCUGAUCCGCUCCUACACAGGAUGUAACUUCAUGGAAAAUACACCAUCUGUACUCCAUUCCCUGACUGGCGGACUUUUCAGAAGCAGACCAAAGCUCUACCCUUUCUUUGGUUUGUUGACACCUGUAGAUGAUCCUGCCAACAUGCUCGAAAUCACUCCGGUAGCCUGCACAACAUUUAAAGCGCCAUAUAAUUCAGGGGACGAUAUUGUGUAACUUCUACCACCAGGUAACAGUAGUAGCAACGUAACCACCAACACAGUCCUCAACUUCUUUGUCAGCACCUUCGGCAUGCAGCGCACUGGACAUUUCCCAUGAUUCAGUGUCACACACACACACACACACACACACACACACACACACACACA